rnacentral:tRNA from 3 species
GGGCGAGUGGCGGAACUGGUAUACGCGUACGCUUCAGGAGCGUAUGGCCGCAAGGUCGUGAGGGUUCAAGUCCCUCCUCGCCCACCA